rnacentral:rRNA from 1 species
CCUACGGGUGGCAGCAGUGAGGAAUAUUGGUCAAUGGGCGCGAGCCUGAACCAGCCAAGUAGCGUGAAGGAUGACUGCCCUACGGGGUGUAAACUUCUUUUAUAAAGGAAUAAAGUGAGGCACGUGUGCAUUUGUGGAUGUACGUUAUGAAUAAGGAUCGGCUAACUCCGUGCCAGCAGCCGCGGUAAUACGGAGGAUCCGAGCGUUAUCCGGAUUUAUGGGGUUUAAAGGGAGCGUAGAUGGGUUGUUAAGUCAGUUGGGAACGUUUGCGGCUCAACCGGAAAAUGGCAAUUGAUACUGGCAGCCUUGAGUACAGUUGUGGUCGGCGGAAUUCGUGUUGUAGCGGUGACAUGCU